GACGAACGCUGGCGGCGUGCUUAACACAUGCAAGUCGAACGAUGAUGGGGAGCUUGCUUUCUUGAUUAGUGGCGAACGGGUGAGUAACACGUGAGUAACCUGCCCUUGACUCUGGGAUAAGCACUGGAAACGGUGUCUAAUACUGGAUAUGACCUGCCCCGGCAUCGGGUGUUGGUGGAAAGUUUUUUCGGUCAAGGAUGGACUCGCGGCCUAUCAGCUUGUUGGUGAGGUAAUGGCUUACCAAGGCGACGACGGGUAGCCGGCCUGAGAGGGUGACCGGCCACACUGGGACUGAGACACGGCCCAGACUCCUACGGGAGGCAG
rnacentral:rRNA from 1 species